CCGGACACCCCCACCCUGUGCGGGGCUCGAACCCGGACCUCCCUGGUGCUGUGUGCGCCAUCGACAUACAUAAACAUGAGACAGGGGAAGACUAAAUUAAACACUGGACAUGACACUAAUAAACCAAAACCUAACAAACAAAACAAGGAACACGGAACAAUAGCUGACAAAGGCAGGUACAAAAGGAUCCCUAUUUAUAGGGCACAACAUUAGGGCUAAUGAAGAACAGGUGAUACGGCAGGAACGAGAACAAUAGGAUAGGCGUGGCACAAGAUACACAUAAUAAAGCAGGCUCCAUUGAGUCACCUGCCAGCCCCCUCUCCAGGCCUGGCAGGUAACUGUCCAGCAGUUCCUGACAUAGUCCCCUCUCUAAGGCACGGCUCCUGAAGCGCCUCCAACAUAGCCGAAGGACGCCCCAGGCAUAGGCGGCAGGUGUAGUCCUGGAGGGGAGAUGUGAGACAUGGCAUAGUUCUUAACUGCAGUCCACAACAGUACCCCAGAUCCUGAGGAUACAGUGACAUCCGACACGCACACGAGAUGGGAGGGAAGCGUCUUCCACCCAAGAUGCCGAGCGAUGUCCUCCACAGAAACUCCAUCGUGGAGUGGCGUCCCUGGCUGGCGAGGUGGUGGAAGCCACGCUUCCAGUGGGUCCGAUAAAAAAGGGAGUGGCCCCCAUGACAUGAAGUCGGGCGGCAUCCUCCGUGGAAACUCCAUCACGGAGCGGCGUCCUCGACCGGAACAAAGAUGGAAGCACCUCCCUGGGGAAAUGGGGAAGGAGGGCCACCUGCUCGAACUUCCUCUGAGGCAGGUGGUCUGUCAGAUGUCAUCCUCCAGGGUCCUUGCUCGUAGGCUGCAGUACCUGAUCGUGAACAGGAACUUGCUGGGAAUCCCACUGGGUCUUCAGGAAUGGUCGGCUAUUCUGUCACGUCCGGACACCCCCACCUUGUGCUGGGCUCGAGCCCAGACCUCCCUGGUGCUGCGUGCGCCGGCACGUUGUGAAGAUAGACCUGUACACAGGAUUCAACAUUCUGCACAAACAGCACUGCAGGAAAGUAAAAGGAUCUUUACUGAGAUGAUCAAAUCCAUUGAGAGAAGACAAAGCGAGGUGACAGAGCUGAUCAGAGCUCAGGAGGAUGCUGCAGUGAGUCAAGCUGAAAAAGUCAUAAAGCAACUGGAGGAGGAGAUUGCAGAGCUGAAGAGAAGAGACUCUAAGAUGGAGGAACUUUCACACACAGAAGAUCCCAUCCAGUACCUCCAGACCUUUCAUUCUGUCUCGACUGGACCUUCAGACUUGCCCAUCAUCUCUCUCAAUUCUCUCCUAACUUUUGAGGGUGUAAUAAAGUCUGUAAAACAACUGAAAAUGGAAAUAGAAGAACACUGUUUUGCUGAAUUGAAGAAAAUAUCAAGUGGAGUCAGGAACGUCUGGAUUUUUCCACCUCGGGUUCCUGCUUCCAUCCCUGCACCAGCAGAGAUGCUGUUUAAAGGCAGAUAUACAACUUGCUUUCAGAAGAAGACAACUGAUGAAACUUCAGCCUUUCCUCAAAAAAAAGUAAAAUACCCUGUCCGUAAGACUACCUAUUCUAGAUUCAGGAUGUUCAAUGAUCAAGGUCAGUCUCUCUCUCUCUCUCUCUCUCUCUCUCACACACACACACACACAAGGUUAUUUUUAUUAUUACACAGCUUUAUUAUUACACAGCUAUAACUGUGUGCAUGUAUGUCUCUGUAGAGUCAGACUGAUCUUGAAACCCAGGAGAAAAAAGAUGAUUUUGAAGACAUGAUCAGGCUUGAGUUGGCAAAAAUGUAUAACCUGAAGAUCACCAAAUAUUGAUUCUCUCUCUCUCUCUCUCUCUCUCUCUCUCUCUCUCUAUCUAUCUAUCUUUUUGUCUUAUAAAUUCCCAUGUACACAUUGUGGAAUAAUCAGUGUAAUCAUCAUAAACAUAACAAUAAAAAGAAAGCUUUCUACUGGUGGUGUUCAUAUGCUGAUAAAAGUUUUAAUCAUUUUUAUGUUAGGAAGUCACACAGUGGAUCAGAAGACCAUCUGAAGAUCAUUUUUUCACCUAUAUAAUUUUAUCCCCAGUUUUAUAAGAUGUAAUAACUUUCCAUAAAUAAUUAAAGCAGCUGGUUCAGCAAAUGCAGUUUGUGUUAUUUUGACCCAAAUACGUUUAAUAAUGUAUUUUGCCAAGACUAAAUAAUAUAUAUUUUUCUUAUUUUUAUUCAUUUGUCAUCAUCAGGUGACAUAAAUAAAUUUGUUUGUUUAAUUGUGAUUGUGUUUGUACUGUGAUGCAGUUUGUCUGUAAUCAGUAGUGUUGUAUAAUUAAUUUGUAUGGAUCCAUGUUCUAAAAAAAAAUAAUAUAUAGUCAUCUGUGAUUUAUAAGCUUUUGAGGUUUUUACAGCCUUCGCUGUGGUUCAUUAUAUUAAU